AGUGCGGCUUCGGCUGCGCUGCAUCUCAA
rnacentral:rRNA from 1 species